rnacentral:precursor_RNA from 15 species
GCGACAGAACUAACCAUUAGCACCUGACCCUGCACUCAGGGAUAGAAUAGCGGUCCACUUAGCAGCCCACUUUUCUAUCCCUGGGACUGGUGCCGUUGCUCCUGCUACCACCACUGCCAA